rnacentral:lncRNA from 1 species
GGAGGCCGCGGGGCUCGGCAGGCAGGCGAAGACCCAGCGUCGCAUUGCAGAGUCGAGACGACCUGGGCUGCCGUGACGCCGCAGUCGCCGGCCCUAGUUUCCCCCGCCCUGCCCGAGCGCGUCCGCGCCUCUCGCCCGAAUCCGGGUACCACCGGCGACUCGGGUCGGCCCCUUCUGGCUUGUUCCGGCGUCCGGCCUGGCA